UACGGAGGAUGCAAGCGUUAUCCGGAAUGAUUGGGCGUAAAGCGUCCGCAGGUGGCUAUGUAAGUCUGCUGUUAAAGAGCAAAGCUUAACUUUGUAAAAGCAGUGGAAACUACAUAGCUAGAGUGCGUUCGGGGCAGAGGGAAUUCCUGGUGUAGCGGUGAAAUGCGUAGAGAUCAGGAAGAACACCGGUGGCGAAGGCGCUCUGCUAGGCCGCAACUGACACUGAGGGACGAAAGCUAGGGGAGCGAAUGGG
rnacentral:rRNA from 1 species